UUGUCUCUCCAGGAUUUCUGAACACUGGACUUGAUGAUGUUUGUUAUCUAUGUGAUGCUUCUCUCUGGUAAUCACUGAAUGAAAAAAAUGAGGACAUAAUUGUUCCCAGAGAUGGGAUUUCACCAGCCUGGAGGCGGCCUACUCACUGGGACAUUUUAGUGCUUUCCAGUACUCUUCCAACGUUUACCUGAGCCUGGCGGGAGACUGGUAGGCCGUUUACGCAGUCACCAUCACCUUGAUAACGCAAUCCUGCGGCUCUGGUCUACAAAACGCGAAGCUUCCGGCUCUUGAAAAAGCCGCCAUCCCUCUCCCCAAGCGUGGAAUUAGGGCGGAAGCGCGAAACCGCACAUCCAGUCCGGGCACUGCGUUUGCUCUCUGGAUAUCCAGUCUGCUGUGUUCCUGAACCCUAUAGAGGCUGAGAGACUGAAACUCAUGAAGGGAGGCGCUGGGCCUACUACCGGCCAUGGCAGUCUAAGGCUCUCAGAGCCAAGCACACCUAACCUUGUACUUGGCUGUUUCACUUCCCAAUCGCCAUAAGGCAUUUUCUGUCUCCUUCAGACUCAAAACUCCUACA